ncrna:unclassified sequences Hairpin ribozyme 1 from viruses-like metatranscriptomes
AUGCGGUCGGAGGAUCCUAGAUCCUCGGGAAGCAUGACAGGGAAACACAUCUAUAUCAGAUGGCAAAUUAACUGUC